GAUCAAACGCGCAACAAAUAAACCAGUAACUAAUUUAAACCGGGCGCGGACGACGUCUGGAAAUGACACCUAGGAUGCAGUCCAUCUCAAACCAAGAGGAGCUCAGGUGGUACGUCGCUAGUUUAGAGGAGUACACCUACUGGCUCUGGCAGAAGGCGGCUCAACCCCCCCGAAGAGCUGAGCUUACCUGCAUUGCUGAAUGACGGUGAAUCCAGAAACCAGUCCAUCCGUCCCUCUAUAUAUCAGUCCUUCCCUCCAUCCAUCUCUCCCUCCCUGCUUCAAUCGAUCCGACCAUCCAUCUUUCCUUCCAUCUAUCCAUCUCUCCAUCCAGCCAUUCAUCCAUCUGUCCGUCUCUGAUUUUUGAAGCUUCCAUGCUUAACG